UGGGAUACAGCUCAGUUGGUAGAGUGUUUACCUUGUAUGCACAAGGACCUGGGUUCAAUCCCCAGCACCCUGC
rnacentral:tRNA from 1 species